GACUCCGCGAGGCUCCUCCGGAGAAAGUGCGGGCCUCCCCUCCGGCCCGACGCCAGGCUCCUCCUGCGCGAUCCCACCUGCGCGAAGGAGACGAGAACGCACGCAGCGCUCCUCUCAGCAUUGCUCUCCGCAGCUUAUUUGGCUGCUCUUAAUAACACACAGUUGAUUGAGCACCUUAUCAUGUGUCAAGUUACGUUUCAGCAACCAUGACCUGAGAAUCUAUGUCUUUCACACAUUUUGCCUGGUACCUUGCCUUUGACUGUCACUGGUGUGGACCAAGCUUUUCACCUCUCAGCUCUGGGACUCAGGAUGCCAAAGCGCCGCACUGGCUGCCGGAAAGGUUGGUACGCGCGGCGGAGACAAUCUCUAGUAAACCAGAUGAGGAGAUUGAUGAUUCCAGAGCAUGAUGAAUUACCAUCUCGGCAACAAUUCCAGGCAUUGAUGCGAGAGGCACAGAAUCGUGUUGCUGUGCAGGGCGAUCCGAUACUGCCUUUAAGCUUCCUGAUAACCUUAUUAAUUAUCUUAAAUCAGAUUAAUACUGCACAUUCUGAAGAAUAUUCAAAUGCUUACUGGGCUUAUUUUCCCGACCCUCCCCUUCUCCAACCGGCGGGCUGGGAGGGUCUGUCCAUUCCCAUAUACACUAAUGAUACUGUGGCUUUGGGUGGUUUUUCAGAUAAACAUAUUAUUCCUAAUCAAGUCAAUUCCUCUUAUCAUGGAGUGUUUGAUCGUUUACCUAUCUGUCUGUCUAGAUAUUUUAAUUCAACAGGAUGUCUUUUUGUUGGGGAGUCAGGAUAUGCUGAUUAUGACAAUGGUUGGAGCCUAUAUAUUCCUGGAGUAACGAAAGAAUCUGGAAUUCCUCAACGUUGUAAUGGGACUGGUCCUUUAGAUAUCCCUUUCUGCGACUUUGGAACAAGGGGAAGAGUCACUGCUGCACCAUGGAAACUGUGUUGAGAUGGAACUGCUACGGUUUAUAACAUAUUUGGGACAAAUGAGUCAUUGUGGGACUGGUAUCCAGACUCGGCCCGAAACCCUGGAGCUCAGGACAAUAGAAACUUUGCAUCCCGUAUUUGGAAUUUGGGCGGCUCUAAAGUGUUCCAAACAGAAAUCUGGAAAUUAGCUGCUGCCCUUGGAUGUGAGGGUUCCUACCUUCAGGUGGGAUCGAAAGUGAGACACGGUUAUUUAUGGAAUCUCACCAUGAGGUACCCUCGUGCAUGUGUGCCUCACCCUUAUGCUUUACUAGUAGGAUCUGUAAAUAUACAACCUGGGUUACAAAAUUAUGAUAUAACUUGUAACAAUUGUACUUUGACUAACUGCGUCAGGGGAAUUACUAAUCAGACUAGUGUUCUAGUUUUAAGACAGCCUGCCUUUGUUAUGAUUCCCGUAAAGACCAAUGGGUCUUGGUAUGAUGAAAGAGGACUUGAGCUUUGGAGGGAAGUAGAGGGUGCUUUGAUGCAUUAUUGCAGGGAAAUAGGGUUAAUAAUUCUGGGAUUUGUAGCUUUGGUAACCCUUAUUGCCUCCUCCAUUACUGCAGCCCUGACCCUGGCACAAUCAGUGCAAAGUGCAACUUUUGUUAAUAAUCUGGCACAAAAUGUAUCCGUUACCCUGGGGACUCAAGAAGAUAUUGACAAAAAGCUAGAGGACCGAUUGAAUGCCCUUUAUGAUGUUGUAAAAUUUUUAGGUGAAGAGGUUCAAAGUAUAAAGUUGAGAUUACGGGUACAAUGUCAUGCUGAUUUUUGAUGGAUCUGUGUUACCCAAAAAAAAUAUAAUGGUAGUAUAACUGCUUGGGAUAAGGUGAAGGCUCAUUUAGAAGGUAUUUAGCAUAAUGAAAAUAUUUCCUUAGAUUUGCUGCAUCUACAUCAGGAAAUAAUGAACAUUGAAAAUGAGCCCAGACCUGAUUUGGAUGUUGCAAAAAGAGCUGAGUCUUUUGUUAAAGAGCUUUUUCGACAUGUACCUACCGUCAAUAGUAUUUGGUACUUGGGAGCAGCCAUAGGAGGACUAUUCUUAAUAAUUUUAACUGUUUUAUUUCUUGCACCUUGUUUAAUUAAAAAACUGAUUGAUGAUCUAUGGAUGAUAAAGGCUUCCAUUUAUGGAAAUUGUCUGCGGUUAAAGGAACAUAAGCGUGCGCCUAUAUAAAAAGAAAGGGGGAGAUGCGGGGAGCUGCCCAUGAGAACAGGGUCCUUUAUCUAAAGGACACAGCUCUGGGAGCUGCCUCAGUCCUUGAGGAUUUGCUUGCAAACAUAGCUCUCUGUCCCGCCACCCCAGAGAUUAGGCGAUUAUUUACUGCAGACACCUGGAGUUCUGGACAAACUUCUCACACACAGGGAAAUGUUAUCUGGUGUAAGAAAUAAUAACAGGGUGCCAUUCCCAUGCUCUCAAGAUUUCUUGUGACUUUUUGUAAGAUGUAUAGGUCAACCAAGAAAAAAUGUUAACUGUC